rnacentral:snRNA from 1 species
AGAUGUGAAGGUCAUCUGGCUGUAGCAUGUGUUACCCCACUGAUAGCCAGGGUUGAUUAAGCUGACUGACUGGCUAGGUGGGUAUCCCCUCCUCUUUGGUCCAUGUGAAUCCUUCCCAAAGCUGCAUGUUUGGUGAAAGCGGGCAACCAUCCCAGAUAGAAGGAGUAUACCCUUCUUCAAUCAAGGUAGCUGCACUUGCAUGCUAGAAUCACCAAGAAAAUUUUGUUCUGUCCUAGUGUUGCAUUUGAUGUUUCUGUAGCCAACAAUGCAACCACUUACUAUUUUUCGUUAAUGGCUAUA